rnacentral:rRNA from 1 species
UGAUGCAGCCAUGCCGCGUGUAUGAAGAAGGCCUUCGGGUUGUAAAGUACUUUCAGCGGGGAGGAAGGUGUUGUGGUUAAUAACCACAGCAAUUGACGUUACCCGCAGAAGAAGCACCGGCUAACUCCGUGCCAGCAGCCGCGGUAAUACGGAGGGUGCAAGCGUUAAUCGGAAUUACUGGGCGUAAAGCGCACGCAGGCGGUCUGUCAAGUCGGAUGUGAAAUCCCCGGGCUCAACCUGGGAACUGCAUUCGAAACUGGCAGGCUAGAGUCUUGUAGAGGGGGGUAGAAUUCCAGGUGUAGCGGUGAAAUGCGUAGAGAUCUGGAGGAAUACCGGUGGCGAAGGCGGCCCCCUGGACAAAGACUGACGCUCAGGUGCGAAAGCGUGGGGAGCAAACAGGAAGAUACCCUGGUAGUCCACGCCGUAAACGAUGUCGACUUGGAGGUUGUGCCCUUGAGGCGUGGCUUCCGGAGCUAACGCGUUAAGUCGACCGCCUGGGGAGUACGGCCGCAAGGUUAAAACUCAAAUGAAUUGACGGGGGCCCGCACAAGCGGUGGAGCAUGUGGUUUAAUUCGAUGCAACGCGAAAACCUUACCUACUCUUGACAUCCAGAGAACUUAGCAGAGAUGCUUGGUGCCUUCGGGAACUCUGAGACAGGUGCUGCAUGGCUGUCGUC